GUUUUAAUAGUUUAAAAAAAUAAUGAUUUUGUAAAUCAUAGAUGAAGUAAAAAUCUUAAAACU
rnacentral:tRNA from 1 species